rnacentral:rRNA from 1 species
UAGGGAAUCUUCGGCAAUGGGGGGAACCCUGACCGAGCAACGCCGCGUGAGUGAAGAAGGUUUUCGGAUCGUAAAGCUCUGUUGUUAAGGAAGAACGAGUGUGAGAAUGGAAAGUUCAUACUGUGACGGUACUUAACCAGAAAGGGACGGCUAACUACGUGCCAGCAGCCGCGGUAAUACGUAGGUCCCGAGCGUUGUCCGGAUUUAUUGGGCGUAAAGCGAGCGCAGGCGGUUAGAUAAGUCUGAAGUUAAAGGCAGUGGCUCAACCAUUGUAGGCUUUGGAAACUGGUUAGCUUGAGGGCGGAAGGGGAGAGUGGAAUUCGAUGUGUGGCGGUGAAAUGCGUAGAUUUAUGGAGGAACGCCGGUGGCGAGAGCGGCUGGCUGGUCUGUAACUGACGCUGAGGCUCGAAAGCGUGGGGAGCGAACAGG